rnacentral:lncRNA from 12 species
AUACUGCUCAGAAAAAUGAAAAAAACAAAAACAAAAACAAAAACAUCUCAUGGGAGAAUGUACUGUUGAGUUACAAUGCUCCAUUCUCUUGCCCAACCGGAAAUAUUUAUUAAGGCUGCUGUGUGCUAGGUAAUCUGCCAGGUGACGAGAGAUGGUACUACACAAGCCAGGUGCAGUUCCUCACCUUGCAAACGUUAUAAUCAGGUAAGGAAGUCAGAAAAAAUAAGCGAACAAUUCCAUUUCAGCACAGUUGGUGCUAACACAGAGAAGUAGAGGGGGCUUCCAUAGAAGCCAAAAGCUAAACACCUAACCUAUCCCUUGGUUGGGGAGGUGGGCUGUCAGAGAAGGCCUCGAGAGGAUAUGGACUUUGAGGAACAGAACUUCUAGUGUUCCAAACUGGCCUGGGGGAGGGUGCUUUCCACUAAAAAGAGACAAAGGAAGCCUCUGAUCCUCCAAUUCCUCAGUAUCAGUCCCAACUACAUUUGAGUUGUCCAAUCUUUUCCCCUCCUAAUCUGUCUCUGUUUAUAAACACAUAGGUGAUACUUAGAGCAGCCCUGCACUGCUGCCUUUAAUGGCAGAGUAGAAAAUAAGCUUGGCAUUUCUUGGGGCAACCCAAACUAUGAAAAUUCCUGCUGACACUUGAAACAGCAAAACUUAUAAAGAUUUGGAUUUCUGGCAUCAAGCCCAUUUUAUUUAUUUAUUUUUUAAAGGGAAGGAGAUUUAAAAAAAAGGAAAAACCCACUACAAGAAUGCCUUAAAACUCCCUGGUUCCCAGUGCAGUCAGACAUCAAUAAUGUAUUUUAAGGCUGCAGAUUUCUCAUUCUUUGCUGUCUUCGGGUGGUCCUCCGGGGGCCACCAUAUUGAGUUGCAGCAAUAAGCAUUGUGGCCACAACGGGGAUCAUGCCUGGAAUCAUGCAGCACUGUAACAAGGGCCUAGAGGAGUCUGUCGUUUGGGAGGAAGGGAAGAAAGAAGAGACACAUCCCUUGAUCCUCUGCUGGUGACCAGACAUCAGAAAAAUACAUCCACUCUGCCCUGUGAAAGCCUUUCCGAGGUCCAGACAGACACAACUGGGCACUAAUUAAAGCAGUGAAAGCAUAUUUUA